ACAACGGCCCUUUUCAGGGCCACCAACAUUUUCAAAAAGAAUCUU
rnacentral:ncRNA from 1 species